CUUUCCUCUUCUUUUCUAUGCUCCAGUUCAACAUAUGAUGUCUGUUGCUCUUCAGCCUAGGAAAACUCAUGCUCUUCUACCUUUUUACAGUCGCUCAUAAACUGUGUAUGAA